rnacentral:rRNA from 1 species
GGGUUGUGAGGUUAAGCGACUAAGCGUACACGGUGGAUGCCCUGGCAGUCAGAGGCGAUGAAGGACGUGCUAAUCUGCGAUAAGCGUCGGUAAGGUGAUAUGAACCGUUAUAACCGGCGAUUUCCGAAUGGGGAAACCCAGUGUGAUUCGUCACACUAUCAUUAACUGAAUCCAUAGGUUAAUGAGGCGAACCGGGGGAACUGAAACAUCUAAGUACCCCGAGGAAAAGAAAUCAACCGAGAUUCCCCCAGUAGCGGCGAGCGAACGGGGAGCAGCCCAGAGCCUGAAUCAGUGUGUGUGUUAGUGGAAGCGUCUGGAAAGGCGUGCGAUACAGGGUGACAGCCCCGUACACAAAAAUGCACAUGCUGUGAGCUCGAUGAGUAGGGCGGGACACGUGGUAUCCUGUCUGAAUAUGGGGGGACCAUCCUCCAAGGCUAAAUACUCCUGACUGACCGAUAGUGAACCAGUACCGUGAGGGAAAGGCGAAAAGAACCCCGGCGAGGGGAGUGAAAAAGAACCUGAAACCGUGUACGUACAAGCAGUGGGAGCACAGAGCAAUCUGUGUGACUGCGUACCUUUUGUAUAAUGGGUCAGCGACUUAUAUUCUGUAGCAAGGUUAACCGAAUAGGGGAGCCGAAGGGAAACCGAGUCUUAACUGGGCGUUAAGUUGCAGGGUAUAGACCCGAAACCCGGUGAUCUAGCCAUGGGCAGGUUGAAGGUUGGGUAACACUAACUGGAGGACCGAACCGACUAAUGUUGAAAAAUUAGCGGAUGACUUGUGGCUGGGGGUGAA